rnacentral:rRNA from 1 species
UACGGGGGGGGGCAAGCGUUGUUCGGAAUUACUGGGCGUAAAGCGUGCGCAGGCGGCUUUGCAAGACAGAUGUGAAAUCCCCGGGCUCAACCUGGGAACUGCAUUUGUGACUGCAUGGCUAGAGUACGGUAGAGGGGGAUGGAAUUCCGCGUGUAGCAGUGAAAUGCGUAGAUAUGCGGAGGAACACCGAUGGCGAAGGCAAUCCCCUGGACCUGUACUGACGCUCAUGCACGAAAGCGUGGGGAGCAAACGAGG